ACACUCCUACGGGAGGCAGCAGUGGGGAAUUUUGGACAAUGGGCGCAAGCCUGAUCCAGCCAUGCCGCGUGCGGGAAGAAGGCCUUCGGGUUGUAAACCGCUUUUGUCAGGGAAGAAAAGGUUCUGGCUAAUACCUGGGACUCAUGACGGUACCUGAAGAAUAAGCACCGGCUAACUACGUGCCAGCAGCCGCGGUAAUACGUAGGGUGCAAGCGUUAAUCGGAAUUACUGGGCGUAAAGCGUGCGCAGGCGGUUAUGCAAGACAGAGGUGAAAUCCCCGGGCUCAACCUGGGAACUGCCUUUGUGACUGCAUGGCUAGAGUACGGUAGAGGGGGAUGGAAUUCCGCGUGUAGCAGUGAAAUGCGUAGAUAUGCGGAGGAACACCGAUGGCGAAGGCAAUCCCCUGGACCUGUACUGACGCUCAUGCACGAAAGCGUGGGGAGCAAACAGGAUUAGAUACCCCGGUAGUCCC
rnacentral:rRNA from 1 species